CGUUGGAGCGGAGGGAGGGCGGGAGGCAGACACAAAGCCCUUCCCUCGCUCCCCCCACCUCCGCCCCUCCCCUCCGUCUCGUCCGCCGCCGCCUCCUGCUCCUCCCGGGCGGGGAAAGUCAGCCCCACGCUAGUCCGCGGGGCCACCGGUCGCCCCCGCCUGCGAGACCUGCGGGGAGGGCCAGCGAGAGAUGGAGGAGAGGCACCCGGACUUCUGAAAGCCCGCCGGAGGAGAUAACCGUGCGAGUCCUUCAGGGUGCCGGAGAGGCGGGGGCGGCCCUGAGAGGCAGACACAGAGGUGCCGGCGGCGUGCAGGGUGUCGAAGGGGUUCUGCUGUGACGCGGCGGCAGCAGGGCCGGGGCAAGGCCAGGACCGCCAGGGGCCCCCGCGCACGAACUGUAACCACUGUCCGUGAUGGGACACCAGCUGCGGGCCAGGCCCGGCUCGAAGCCCUUUCGUGGAUUCCUUCCUUCUGGUCUCGUCUUAGCGGUGGCCCCCGGGGAGCAUGGGGACCCUGCUUGACUCCUGAGAGAGGGCGGUCCCGAUGGUGGGCCCCGUCCCAGCGUAAAGCCUUCUCCUCUUCCUCGCACGUUCCCCACAUGCCCUCUUCCUGUCCCGCCUUUCAUCUGCUUUUUCCCAUAGAAUCGUAGAUCUCCGAGUGACAGGGAAUUCACAUCAGGGGGACGUCAGCAUAGGUCACUCCUGUGGACCGUAGUUUCCCUAAGCGGCCACUGGUGGUAUCGCUGCCCUUCCAGAACGCGCCACAUCCCCUCACGCUGGGGAGUCAGCUUCCCUUCCUCUGCAGUCUGGGUGGGACCCGGGAACCACCUUCACAGAGAAGGCGGCAGAAAUGAUGCCGAGUGACUUCAGAGCAGAGACCAGCCACCCUGAGGUGGCCCCGGCGCACCUGCCUGUGAGACCAGCCGCCUCGCAGAGAGGCCGCCCAGGCCCCUCCCCCGGCCCCCCAACGCGUGAGGGGACUUGGGUGGCCCCAGCCCCAGCCUCGGAGCUGCCCGCUCCGGUGCCAAGUGGAGGGAGGGCGAGGCGACAACAGUUCCCCCUGAGCCCAUCCCCGCCGGACAUUCAGGAGAAAGUGAACACUGUCACUGCGUGGCGCGCUAUCAUUGAACCCCCUGCAACACCGUUGAAUGUGUCACUACGCUGACUUACAAGGGAGAGAAAGGAGGCUGAGUGACACGGAGUGACUCGCCCCACGCCACACGGUGGGCUGGGUUUGAACCCAGGGCUCCCCUGGGAGACCCGCCCCUGCCUCAGGGCCCCUUCCUCCUGGGAGCGGAGUGGGGCCUGUGCCCCUCCUCACACACAGCUGUUCUCGGAGAGGGCAGACCCAUUUGGGGUCGGAGGAUGAGAGAAUACAUCUUUGGAGAACUGGCUUUAGUUGGUUUAUUGUGACUGUUUGCUUAAUUUGGAUCCUGGUUAAGCCCUGCUGGUCCUGCCUCAAACAUCUAGUCCCCCCGGAGGCUGCCUGCCUCCCCCAGGCACUGAGAUCCCGUGGUGCUGCCCACGUCACACGACGUGCUUUUUCAUACGUGUGAAACGAUGACCCUGUUUCUGCGUCAUCCGCGCUUCUCUCUCGUUUGGCUUCAGGCUCCAUGAGGCCAGGGCUUGCUCUCACCCGCAGCAGGCAGGGAAUAAAUGCAAGUUAAUAAAUACC